rnacentral:rRNA from 1 species
GGGAGGCUGCAGUAGGGAAUCUUCCACAAUGGGCGCAAGCCUGAUGGAGCAACGCCGCGUGUGUGAUGAAGGCUUUCGGGUCGUAAAGCACUGUUGUAUGGGAAGAAAUGCUAAAAUAGGGAAUGAUUUUAGUUUGACGGUACCAUACCAGAAAGGGACGGCUAAAUACGUGCCAGCAGCCGCGGUAAUACGUAUGUCCCGAGCGUUAUCCGGAUUUAUUGGGCGUAAAGCGAGCGCAGACGGUUGAUUAAGUCUGAUGUGAAAGCCCGGAGCUCAACUCCGGAAUGGCAUUGGAAACUGGUUAACUUGAGUGUUGUAGAGGUAAGUGGAACUCCAUGUGUAGCGGUGGAAUGCGUAGAUAUAUGGAAGAACACCAGUGGCGAAGGCGGCUUACUGGACAACAACUGACGUUGAGGCUCGAAAGUGUGGGUAGCAAACAGGAUUAGAUACCCUGGUAGUCCACACCGUAAACGAUGAAUACUAGGUGUUAGGAGGUUUCCGCCUCUUAGUGCCGAAGCUAACGCAUUAA